ACGCUCGACACCUCGGAGGCAGCAGUGGGGAAUAUUGCACAAUGGGGGAAACCCUGAUGCAGCGACGCCGCGUGGAGGAAGAAGGUCUUCGGAUUGUAAACUCCUGUUGUUGGGGAAAAAGAGGAUGGUACCCAACAAGGAAGUGACGGCUAACUACGUGCCGCAGCCGCGGUAAUCUGAGCGGGCUGGCAAGGC
rnacentral:rRNA from 1 species